rnacentral:rRNA from 1 species
GACGAACGCUGGCGGCGUGCUUAACACAUGCAAGUCGAACGGAAAGGCCCUGCUUGCAGGGUACUCGAGUGGUGAACGGGUGAGUAACACGUGGGUGAUCUGCCCUGCACUUCGGGAUAAGCCUGGGAAACUGGGUCUAAUACCGGAUAGGAGCCAUUUUUAGUGUGAUGGUUGGAAAGUUUUUUUCGGUGUAGGAUGAGCUCGCGGCCUAUCAGCUUGUUGGUGGGGUAAUGGCCUACCAAGGCGGCGACGGGUAGCCGGCCUGAGAGGGUGGACGGCCACAUUGGGACUGAGAUACGGCCCAGACUCCUACGGGAGGCAGCAGUGGGGAAUAUUGCACAAUGGGCGCAAGCCUGAUGCAGCGACGCCGCGUGGGGGAUGACGGCCUUCGGGUUGUAAACUCCUUUCGCUAGGGACGAAGCUUUUUGUGACGGUACCUAGAUAAGAAGCACCGGCUAACUACGUG